rnacentral:siRNA from 1 species
CGAAGAUAGUUUGUGGGCUUC